GCUGGUGUAGCUCAGUGGUAGAGCAUUUGCCCAGAAUGCACAAAGCCCUGGGUUCAUUCCAGCACUAAAA
rnacentral:tRNA from 1 species